GUCUAUGGCCAUACCACCCUGAAUACACCCGAUCUCGUCAGAUCUCAGAAGCAAAGCAGGGUCGGGCCUAGUUAGUACUUGGAUGGGAGACCGCCUGGGAAUACCGGGUGCCAUAGGCU
ensembl:rRNA 5S_rRNA 5S ribosomal RNA